rnacentral:rRNA from 1 species
CGUUCUAGAGAGUUUUAGAUACCCUGGACGUCAACGGGAUAAAACGGCUGGCGGCGCACAUAGAACAUAGCAAGUCGAACGGACUUAACCAUAGUUUACUAUUGGAGCGGUUAGUGGCGGACUGGUGAGUAACACGUAAGCAACCUGCCUAUCAGAGGGGAACAACAGUUAGAAAUGACUGCUAAUACCGCAUAUGCCUUAGUAUCGCAUGAUACAAAGGGAAAGGAGCAAUCCGCUGAUAGAUGGGCUUGCGUCUGAUUAGCUAAGUUGGUGGGGUAAAGGCCUACCAAGGCGACGAUCAGUAGCCGGACUGAGAGGUUGAACGGCCACAUUGGGACUGAGAUACGGCCCAGACUCCUACGGGAGGCAGCAGUCGGGAAUAUUGCGCAAUGGAGGAAACUCUGACGCAGUGACGCCGCGUGCAGGAAGAAGGUUUUCGGAUUGUAAACUGCUUUAGACAGGGAAGAAACAAGGCAGUACCUGUAGAAUAAGCUCCGGCUAACUACGUG